AGCUCGGAGUCCACUAGGGCAGCAUGGCCGCUCGCCACGCCGCUGCAGCCGCAGCUGGUGUGUGAAACCGGCGCCACGCUCCGCCCCUUUGAAGUGCAGCAGCCGUCAAGGUGGACGAUGUCUGCCUCCGGCGUUGUGCGCCUCGUGUAGCCGCGACCCAUUUGACGUCGUCCGGUGGUGUCACAUCGAUCUCGGACAGACGUCUCGCCCAUCGUGCCGUCUCGGACGUGCGUCAAUGAUCUCCUUUUUCGCGCGGGACACCCGGAAAGCACCGCGGUACUUGUCACUCACCUGAGUAGUAAAGAGAGACAAGCCGUAGCGACGGGAUCAUCGUUGUCCUUCCAUUUGUUGUUGCUGCUACCGGAAACGUCAUACUGUCUCCAUUCCUCGCUUCGAGUGGUGGUGUGUAUUCGUUCGGCGCUUGGGACAUCUGUGCGUUGUGAUUGCUUGUGCUGCAACUGAUCACACCAAGGCACGACUGAAACACAAGUGCGUGGUCGCGUGCCCCUACCUGAACGUGACACUGACAGGGAUCUCGCACACUUCGCGUGCGACGACACUCGACAGUUGCAGCGUGUGAUUGUUGAUUCCGCGCAUUGGAUUUAACGCGGCGAUCGUUUCUUCUUGUGUUGUGACCAACCUUUCAAGCGGUGCCUGGAUCUCACGCUUACGAGCGCGUGCCAGUUUACGACGUGCCUGGGCCUGGCACUAUCGGGCGGCCGUACACCUGACUUACGUUGGAUUGAGUUAGCGUGUGCUGAUUGAGCUGUUGCGCUCUCGUGGACUACCCUCGAGCUAAGGACAAAGGCUCAAGUCCCACGUUCUGGACGGCGCGGUCGUCGAUCGUUGCGUUGCCAUCAAUUGCCCCAUGUCUGUCAAGUGUACAACUAACAGCAUCCAAGCAAUCGUGUGAAGCGGCUUUCGCAUUCAUGGACGGGUUGGUACGCCAUCGUUAGGACAUCCUGCAGAACGUGACGUGGGACACUGAAUGGACUGUCGUCAUUUGGCCAGCGCUUGCGUCCUUGCUGAUAAACCGAACACGCAUUCCUGGCGCCUACCUUAGUCCAAGAGUUCAUCACGGCCAUCUGCAUAGGUUCAUCAACACACCUAAACGAUUAUCCUGCCAAGGCGGCUUUGUCCGUCCCAGGUGAAGACCAGCGCCCGUGGGAGGAGGCUGAGUGGAAAACGCCGCAUGCCUCACCAGGCCGGCGGCGGCAAAGACUGGAUGACACACGAGCCGGAAAAAGUUCGCACAGUUCCUACUCAAGGAGGU